CUCAGGAUGAACGCUAGCGGCAGGCUUAACACAUGCAAGUCGAGGGGUAACAGAGGUGCUUGCACUUGCUGACGACCGGCGCACGGGUGCGUAACGCGUAUACAAUCUACCUUAUACUGAGGGAUAGCCCAGAGAAAUUUGGAUUAAUACCUCAUGGUAUCAUAAAGCUGCAUAGUUUAAUGAUUAAAGGUUACGGUAUAAGAUGAGUAUGCGUCCUAUUAGCUAGAUGGUAAGGUAACGGCUUACCAUGGCGACGAUAGGUAGGGGCCCUGAGAGGGGGAUCCCCCACACUGGUACUGAGACACGGACCAGACUCCUACGGGAGGCAGCAGUGAGGAAUAUUGGACAAUGGAGGCAACUCUGAUCCAGCCAUGCCGCGUGCAGGAUGACUGCCCUAUGGGUUGUAAACUGCUUUUAUACAGGAAGAAACCUACUUACGUGUAAGUAGCUGACGGUACUGUAAGAAUAAGGAUCGGCUAACUCCGUGCCAGCAGCCGCGGUAAUACGGAGGAUCCAAGCGUUAUCCGGAAUCAUUGGGUUUAAAGGGUCCGCAGGCGGGCUAUUAAGUCAGAGGUGAAAGUUUGCCGCUCAACGGUAAAAUUGCCUUUGAUACUGAUAGUCUUGAAUCAUUGUGAAGUGGUUAGAAUAAGUAGUGUAGCGGUGAAAUGCAUAGAUAUUACUUAGAAUACCGAUUGCGAAGGCAGAUCACUAACAAUGCAUUGACGCUGAGGGACGAAAGCGUGGGUAGCGAACGGGAUUAGAUACCCCGGUAGUCCACGCCGUAAACGAUGGAUACUAGCUGUUUGGCAUUUAUGCUGAGUGGCUAAGCGAAAGUGAUAAGU
rnacentral:rRNA from 1 species